GGUUAUGGCUCAGGGGUAGAGCACUUGCCUCACAUGUGUGAGGCACUGGGUUCUAUUCUCAGCACCA
rnacentral:tRNA from 1 species